CAAAAGAUGUGAUUGAGGACAUAUUAUUGUUGUGAUAUAUUCUAAAAAUCUCUUAUUGUACUAACAUCUUUUGCCAACUAGUUUCUAAACCAUGACUUCACUUUUGAUUCAAUUUAUGUAUAUUAUUAAUGCAUAUUUUAGUAUUAAUAAACUGAAGUUGAUAUAGGAUUUCUAUUGAGGAUAAGAUUGGAGUUUUAGUAAGGCUUCUUUCAUUGAUUGUCUAUGCCAUUGAUA
rnacentral:lncRNA from 1 species